AUUUUCCCAUCUUAUGUCAUGUAUUUGCCCAGCCCCACCACUAAAUCUAGGACGUUGGCGUUGUCCUCCCGCUUUUGGUGAUGAAGAAACAAUCUUAUCUUAGAGAAGUGUGUGCCUUGGCUCAGACCCGUAUCAGAAACUGGCCUUGAACUCCUUUUUAUCCUGAGACUAGGGUUCCUUUAGCCAUAUUGCAUUUAUUCCAAACCAUUAGCCGUCACCAAGAAUUCUGAAAGUCAGAGCCACAGGGAAGGGAGGAUGGGCUGGAUUUCUGCCCCCGAUUCCCGGCUCUUCCGUCUGCUGUCCCGCCCCACCCCUAUGGUUCUGGUCUGGGCGGAAGCAGGAAGGACUGAAAGAGAAGUUGAGCUGCAAUGGAGGUCAGUUCUGACGGCAGCCUCAGCCAACACCACGUGGGUCUCUGGACCUAAAUGGGCUUGUGUGAGAUCCCCCAGUGUGGGCUGACGUGGCUGGGCCUGUAUCCCCUGCAUCCAUCACCCAGAAGGGCAUACGCAUACCUGUGGACGAGGCAGCUCCGAAACUGUGGCAGGCUCAAAAGGGGGCCAGCUGAAGGCUUUCUGCUCACAGCACUCCUAGCAGAAACAGUGCCUGUCUCUAACUCCCAGGUUGGAGUGAAGUGGUACAAUCAUAGCUCAUUGUAAUCUCAAGCUCCUGGUCUCAAGCAAUCCUUCUACCUUGGCCUCUCUGAAUGCUGGGAUUACAGGUGUGAGCCACUGAGCCUGGCCUGGUUUAUGCAUAUAUGUCUGCUCCAUGAAUUUUCAUCUGGCUGCUUGAAUUAUGGUCUUCACCUGGCAAAGAUCUGCAGUGCCAAGAAGAUUGGUGGAAACUCCAUACUUCUUAAAACUUUAACCGGAGAAAAGACAGUCUGAAGAAGCUGGCAGGCUGAAGCAAUGGAUUGAUUGAACUCAACCACUCAAGCUAGGAGUACCUUUACUGGCAGGUG